GCGGACGUAGUGCACGGUGCACCGCUGCAUUUCAUUUCGAGAUUGGGAAAGAAAAUCGAAGCAGUUACCGGGGUUCGACUCCCUGCGUCCGCA